rnacentral:rRNA from 1 species
UACGGAGGGAGCUAGCGUUAUUCGGAAUUACUGGGCGUAAAGCGCACGUAGGCGGCUUUGUAAGUUAGAGGUGAAAGCCUGGAGCUCAACUCCAGAACUGCCUUUAAGACUGCAUCGCUUGAAUCCAGGAGAGGUGAGUGGAAUUCCGAGUGUAGAGGUGAAAUUCGUAGAUAUUCGGAAGAACACCAGUGGCGAAGGCGGCUCACUGGACUGGUAUUGACGCUGAGGUGCGAAAGCGUGGGGAGCAA